rnacentral:lncRNA from 1 species
AGACAUGCCAGCAACUUCACGGCUACUUCUCCGUUUAGCCAGACAGAGAAUAAAGGGUCCCUGUAUUCAUGCCUUCCUGGAAAUCUCAGUGCAAGGCCCUAUCAGGAGGUUUCCUGGAGCAGCUAAGGGAACAGCUAGACCACCCAGGAAGAAAUGACAGAAGCCUACCUGACUUCCAAUCUGCUUGCUUGAUGGUGUAAUGGGGGCCUAGACAGAAGCACCCCAAGUAGACUUACAACAACUGUUCUGCCAGCUCUAGUCCAUUGGAGAAGAUGUGCCAACAUACCUUCUCACCAUCCCUAGAGCCCAACCUUGCUAUGGAAAGGUCAAACCCUUACCAUUGGCCCUGCCAAGGAUCCCCAGACAGAGAAGCACAAUGGAGGCCAUAAAUUAUGGCUUCUUAUCAUGGCCUCCACAUAACUUAAACUCUGGAUGGUGAAUGAAAUCCGGGGCCAAGUCUUAAAGGGUCAGGGUAGCCAAUGAGCAUAACUCAAUAUUUGUGUUUCUAAGAGAAAACCACAGAACCUCCAUAUCCAUGGCAAACUGGCCAGCCACAGGCUGGAUCCAGUGUGCAGUAGUGUUUUGUGUACACCAUUCACUAUUUGUCUACUUGGGUUAAAAAUGUUUUAUAUUAGUUAGCAAUGUUUAAACAUUGGGAGAAUUAAAGGGAAAUGAAAACGUACUUCCCACAAAUACUUGCACAUAAAUAUUCACAGCAGCAUUGUUUAUAAUUGCCCAAAACUAGGAACAACCCAAACAUCCAUCAACUGAUGAAUGAUAAACAAGUUGUGCUAUAUUCAUCCAAUAAAACAAUAUUCAGCAAUAAAAAUAAACAAAUCAGGCACUUAAUAUAAUUGAAUAUCAAGGUCAUUAUGUUGAGUGAAAGAGGCCAGAAAAUAAAAGUAUACACUGUUUGAUUCCAUUUAUAUAAUAUUCUAGAAAAUGAAAACCAGUCUAUACUUACAGAAAACAAGGUGGUAGCUUAUAGAGAUGGGGUAGAGGGAGGGAGAGAUGACAGAGAGGCAUAAAAAAACUUUCCAGACAAUGAAAAUGUUCUGUAUUUUAAUUGUGGUGAUGGUUUCAUGGAUGUACAUGUUCAUCAAAUCUCAUCAAGUUAAAUAUACGCAUUUAUUUUAUAUCAAGUGUACCUCAAUAAAGCAG